UUCCAAGUUCUUCUCUCCAACCGAGUCAUCCCCCAUGACUCGGUCAGGUCAACUCAGAACCGAACCCAACUCAAAAACAAGGCCCAGGCCACCAUUUCCAGCGACCACUUCAAUCUCCACCGUUGUCAAGGCCACCCGUGGUUCAGCCCUGGCCCCAGCAACUCAAGUACAUCACUUUCCUCAAAGACUCGUCGGCUUGGGUCACCUUUUUCUCCACGUCGGAGCUCCCCGUCACGGCGCCGGCGCCGUCAGAUCCCACGACCCCGGACAAGGGGCGAAGAUCCGACAGGGCCCCACCUGAGA
rnacentral:lncRNA from 1 species